ensembl:processed_transcript Gm17066 predicted gene 17066
UAUCACAUGGGUGUUAAUGAUAAUGGUGUAUGACUGCUUUACAUAUGAGUCCUAUGCAUCUGGAUGCUAAAAAUAAAGUGGAAUGGUCUCUUAAAAGAAAAAAGAAAAGAAAAAAAAAAAAGCAACGACAAAAAAAAAUUCAUGACAAUGUUCCUUGAUUUAAAAAAGAAAAAAGAAAAAAGAAAAAGAAAAAAAGAAAAAAAAAAGAAAAAAAAAAAGAAAAUGAAACAGACCAUUCCAGAUGGUGAUCUGCCUACCCCCUAUCAAAAAGAGCUAUAAUCACUAAAUAAUAAUGGUUACUGGUACCUUUACAAUAAUGUGCAAUCCAAUGUUUAAAAUUUAUACCACUUCAGUUUGGCUUGAUCAUAUAAAUUUUCAACAGAUGUCUUAAAAUUUAAAAGCAGGCUGAUUAGUUUGGAACCAGACUUCAAGUAGCGCUAACAUUUGGUGAAUAAGACAACUUCAUAUUACAUUUUGGAUGUAUGAAAGAAAACUUGACCAUUUGAAGAUGUAUGAAUAAAGAAAUGUACUAUAGAUACUACUUUAGGAAAACCCUGUUUGUAGUCGUGAAAGAUGCCAAAUUGGCAGAGGCUCACGUUUCUUCUCUUUACACCAAACAGGGGUUACAGGUAGCGAUGGAGGUAGAUACCUAGAAUCAAAUCUGACAUUUUUCCAGCUCAGGCCUCUAGAUUGUGUAAUAUUAAAGAGAGAACAUCACUGCCUGAAUUUAGCUUUGUGACUACAUGAGCAAGCCCUCUUUGUCCUGUCUGGAGACGACUGUUAAUAAUAGCAUCUUGUCAUUUGGUUUGCUCUCUAUCAAUCUGAAUAGAUGUUUACAUGGACCGUGAUGACCAUUUUAUCUUUACAGUUCUGUACAAGUCCAUCUGAGUCCAGACGUGUAUCAAAUGUGUGAGGUUUAUGACCUUAUUUAGAAAUGUUUUCUUCCCUUCAUAGCAAUUUAAUUUGUAAAACACCUUUAAGGAACAAGGCCUUUUAGUUUCCUUAUGAGAUGUAUUAUGUCUCAGGCAAACUGAGAGAUAUGUUUGGGAAAUCUAUAAAGCCAUGAGAGCAUUAAUUGAACAAUUUAGAAUGAAGAAAAUGAAUUAAAAAGUUAAAC